rnacentral:rRNA from 1 species
GAUGAACGCUGGCGGCGUGCCUAAUACAUGCAAGUCGAGCGAACAGACGAGGAGCUUGCUCCUCUGACGUUAGCGGCGGACGGGUGAGUAACACGUGGAUAACCUACCUAUAAGACUGGGAUAACUUCGGGAAACCGGAGCUAAUACCGGAUAAUAUAUUGAACCGCAUGGUUCAAUAGUGAAAGACGGUUUUGCUGUCACUUAUAGAUGGAUCCGCGCCGCAUUAGCUAGUUGGUAAGGUAACGGCUUACCAAGGCAACGAUGCGGAGCCGACCUGAGAGGGUGAUCGGCCACACUGUAACUGAGACACGGUCCAGACUCCUACGGGAGGCAGCAGUAGGGACUCUUCCGCAAUGGGCGAAAGCCUGACGGAGCAACGCCGCGUGAGUGAUGAAGGUCUUCGGAUCGUAAAACUCUGUUAUUAGGGAAGAACAAAUGUGUAAGUAACUAUGCACGUCUUGACGGUACCUAAUCAGAAAGCCACGGCUAACUACGUG